CCACCUAAGAACCCUUACACAAUACUGAGUAAUUCUAUACUCCUAUAGAAGAUUUCAUGUUAAAACUAGUAACAAGAAGAAGAACUUCUCUUAAGUGCAAGUGUAAAUCAGACAGGACACCCCGCUGACAAUUAACACCCGUGAACAAAAAGUAGUAACUUAACAAGAAAAUCCUACUACACCCCAUGUUAACCUAACAACAGCGCACUACAAGAAAGAUUUAAAGAAAGAGAAGGAACUCGGCAAAUAAUAACCUCGCCUGUUUACCAAAAACAUCGCCUCUUGAAUAAUAUAAGAGGUCCAGCCUGCCCAGUGACUCUGUUCAACGGCCGCGGUAUCCUAACCGUGCGAAGGUAGCGUAAUCACUUGUUCUUUAAAUGAGGACUAGUAUGAACGGCACCACGAAGGUUAUGCUGUCUCCUCUUUCCAAUCAGUGAAACUAAUCUCCCCGUGAAGAAGCGGGGAUAUACAUAUAAGACGAGAAGACCCUAUGGAGCUUUAAACCACACAACACCUGCUCCAACUUAACUAACUUCCAGAAAACCCCCGUCUACCCAUGCAGGAUGAUUGUCAGUUUUAGGUUGGGGUGACCGCGGAGCAUAAAAUAACCUCCACAUUGAAAGGAGCCCACUCCUUAGCUAAGAGCCACACCUCCACGCAUCAACAAAAUGACAUUAAUUGACCCAAUAUAUUGACCAACGAACCAAGUUACCCUAGGGAUAACAGCGCAAUCCACUUUAAGAGCCCCUAUCGACAAGUGGGUUUACGACCUCGAUGUUGGAUCAGGGUAUCCCGGUGGUGCAGCCGCUACCA
rnacentral:rRNA from 1 species